rnacentral:rRNA from 1 species
GCAUCGAUGAAAGGACGCAGCGAAAUGCGAUACGCAUUGUGAAUUGCAGAUUUCAGUGAACCAUUAGAUCUCCGAACGCAUAUGGCGCUGUAGGGACUUCCCUACAGCACGUCUGUUUCAGUGUCUUU